rnacentral:rRNA from 1 species
GACGAACGCUGGCGGCGUGCUUAACACAUGCAAGUCGAACGGUAAGGCCCUUCGGGGUACACGAGUGGCGAACGGGUGAGUAACACGUGGGUGAUCUGCCCUGCACUUCGGGAUAAGCCUGGGAAACUGGGUCUAAUACCGGAUAGGACUCCGGACUGCAUGGUCUGGGGUGGAAAGCUUUUGCGGUGUGGGAUGGGCCCGCGGCCUAUCAGCUUGUUGGUGGGGUGAUGGCCUACCAAGGCGACGACGGGUAGCCGGCCUGAGAGGGUGACCGGCCACACUGGUACUGAGAUACGGCCCAGACUCCUACGGGAGGCAGCAGGGGGGAAUAUUGCACAAUGGGCGCAAGCCUGAUGCAGCGACGCCGCGGGAGGGAUGACGGCCUUCGGGUUUUAAACCUCUUUCAGCACAGACGAAGCGCAAGUGACGGUAUGUGCAGAAGAAGGACCGGCCAACUACGUGCCAGCCGCCCGCCGUAA